GACGAACGCUGGCGGCGUGCUUAACACAUGCAAGUCGUGCGAGAAAACCCCUUCGGGGGUGAGUACAGCGGCGGACGGGUGAGUAACACGUGAGCGAUCUACCCGGUGGCGGGGGACAACCCAGGGAAACCUGGACUAAUACCGCAUACAGCGGAGGGAGUAGGUGCCCUUCGUGAAAGCUGGCCUCUCCAUGGAAGCUAGCGUCGCCGGAGGAGCUCGCGGCCUAUCAGCUUGUUGGUGGGGUAACGGCCUACCAAGGCGAUGACGGGUAGCUGACGUGAGAGCGUGACCAGCCACACUGGGACUGAGACACGGCCCAGACUCCUACGGGAGGCAGCAGUGGGGAAUAUUGCGCAAUGGGCGAAAGCCUGACGCAGCGACGCCGCGUGGGGGAGGAAGGCCCUAGGGUUGUAAACCCCUGUCAGGUGGGACGAACCCUGGGUCGACGAAUAGUUGGCUCAGCUGACGGUACCAUCAGAGGAAGCUCCGGCUAACUCCGUGCCAGCAGCCGCGGUAACACGGGGGGAGCAAGCGUUGUUCGGAAUCACUGGGCGUAAAGCGCGCGUAGGCGGCCGAGUAAGUCGUAUGUGAAAGACCGGGGCUCAACUCCGG
rnacentral:rRNA from 1 species